rnacentral:rRNA from 1 species
UACGUAGGGGGCAAGCGUUGUCCGGAUUUAUUGGGCGUAAAGAGCGUGUAGGCGGCUAGGUAGGUCCGUUGUGAAAACUCGAGGCUCAACCUCGAGACGUCGAUGGAAACCAUCUGGCUAGAGUCCGGAAGAGGAGAAUGGAAUUCCCGGUGUAGCGGUGAAAUGCGCAGAUAUCGGGAAGAACACCCGUGGCGAAGGCGGUUCUCUGGGACGGUACUGACGCUGAGACGCGAAAGCGUGGGGAGCGAACAGG